GACCUAUUAAUACCCACAAUGCAUUGCGGUUUCCUCUGAAAGCCCUGGCUCCCUUUGAAGGGAUUAAAAGGAAGAAAGCAAAAUAACAAUAAAAACCACACUCUUGUACAAGGGAAAAUAAGAAAAAAAGAGAAUACUGGAAAUUCCUGAAGGAAACAGUGAACCAUUCCCCAAAACAAACCACCAUCAUGAUGGCAGCCAUUUUGGUCCUGUUCUCCUUUCCAGGACCUAUUGGCCAUUUAGCGUCACUCGAUUCCUUCCUGCAUCCCACACUGCUGAUGACAGUUAUACGCAAAUUUGGGGUUGGCUUUUGCAUCUCAAACACCCACCAAGGGAUUUGGUGUCCCUGUUGGAGAAAUUUGCCCCAGGGAUCUUCCCCAGAGGUAGCCAAUUGCUCUGUGAGAAGAAGGGAAUCUUGACACCAAGAUCAGGCAAAACCACAAGUUGUUUAUUCUUGAGACAGCGCUGCACGGGCAACUCCCCACCUCAUGCUGCAAAGAGGGAGGCCACCGUCCUUUUUACAUCAAAUGUUUACAAAAAAAUGUCCGAAUUUCCUUCCUACAAUCUCCUAUUGGUUAGGAAAUUGCAGUUUACAGGUCCUCCUAUUACAUAUUGUUACCGGAAAAAUCCGAGGGCUCCCUUGGACAAAAACAAAGACACCAACCAGGAUAACUUGGAGCAAAACAGCAGCCUGUAGGCUUGGCCUUUAUUGAACUGUUGCAACAGGGUGUUCCCCUCACUUGCAGGAGAGAGGAAAGACCCAGAAAGAUGGUGUGCAAGACCUUAUAAAAACUUUUGAAAUUCCCAUCCUCUAGGUCAAGCCCACCCCCAGAAACAUCAUGCAUACAUUACAGAAAGGAGGGGUUGAGGGAGGAGUUGUGGUGGUAACCUGAGUGUCCUGUCACCUGGCUGGUUCCUCCUUUCCCCCUGCCCAUGAGUCACUUCCAGGAGACAAAGGGGAGUUGGCAGUUUCCUGCCCCCAGAGGGAGAUCUGAUCAUUGUCCUUUGUUUCAGUCCAUGCUGAAUCCACUCCCAUAUGCAAGUUCUUUGUGAUCUUGAUGGUCUUCUGUCUAGGACCAUCAGGGUUGGCAUAGCAACUGGGCAGGGCUCCUGUGGAUGUGCUGGGAUGGUGAAGGGAUUAUGGCUGACCAGAACCAAGCCACCCCCCUUUGAUAGUCCUUGUCAUAUGGAGUAAAAUAAAAAUGGAACAGUGCAAAUCCGAUGUAUGGUUGAUUUUUCUAUGAAUUUAUAACAGAAGUGUGGCAUAUGUAGUGUGUGAGUGUGAGUGUGUGAAGUUUGUACAAACUGAAUGAUUGGGGUGGGGGGUUCCUGCUACAAUAUGUACCCCCACUGUACAUCCCAUGUUCAUGCUGAUUAGCUUUAGCUCCACCCAGAGCAGUUUGACUAAUAUUCAUAGCCCUUUUAAGCAUGUGAAAUAGCUUUCUAACUGUUCUCCAUUUUCCCUCGUGAUUCUGAGUCACCCCCACACUAAUCCCUUAUAGGGCAUUACCUUUUGGCUACUCAGUAAUUUCUAUACUUAACAUAUUACGUAUUACCACAAGUUUCCUUUUUCUUUGCAAUGCAAGCAGUUACAACAGCAAGGCGAGGCAUGGUCGUUUCUGCUAAGCUUUUUCUUAUCCAUUUAUCCCACAUCUCCCAAGUCCGUUAUCGUUCAAAGAAUAAUUAAUGGAGGCAGGAACCAGUAGAAGAACAUGGCACCCCAAGAGUGUCUCUCAUUGUGCCUCUCAGCAAGCUUGGGUGCAAAGUGUUGUAAAUAAAAAAUAUGCCCUUUUCCCUUAUGGGGUAUCCAAGAGCCCAUAUAGAGUCCUUACAUAGGUUCCCUAUUGGUAGGAGAGAAUAACACAGGCCAGCCAGAGAAUAUUGAGAAGCAAAGCAGCUAGUAAGCUUGAUCUUUAUUGAUCUGUUGCAACAGGGUGCUCCCCUCACUCGCAGGAAAGGCGGAGGACCCACAAAAAUGCUGUGCAAGGGUUUAUAGACUUUUGAAAUUCCCAUCCUCUAGAUCCAGACCACCCCCAGAAACAUUAUGCAUACAUCACAGAAGGGGUGUAACCUAAGACCACCCCUCAGAUACAUCCCACCUACAUCACAGAAAUUUUAAUAUUGUUUUUCUCCUGUUGUUUAUCUCCUGUCUAGCAGGUUACUUGAUUGGAUUGCCUGAGGAGCCUGGCCAUUCUUUUGUAGUGGUAAAAUACUUAUUUCCUGGGCCAGGUCACAGGCACACCUUAUUCAAACAGACAUAUCCUUGAGACAGGAUUUGUGAGGAAAGAGACAAUGGGGAGGCUUUUCCAGUUUAACCUUGCAGAGAAAGGAUUUGGUCAGUUUAGGAAUCAAAAUGGUUCCAGGUUGGUCUUCCUGUGUUGAUCUAUGUAUGUGCAGUUAUGAACAUUACCAUAUAUCUAAGACCAUAAAAUUCCUAUCACAAAAGCAGCAGUCAGUCACAGCUCCGGGUCUCGGUGCAGGCUCCUCCUGUCAUCACCGCAUGGAGUUUGGCCUACCUCCUCCUCCUUGUUUCCAGAACACCUUUUGAUUUCAAAAAGGACACAUUUUCCUGUCCUUUCUUUGGAGCAGAGCAGAAGGAUAGCUUUCUGCAUUGCCAAUUGACGUUCAUAGCCCCCAUUGCAGACCCUCCAAGUGCCCCUAAUUUCCCGCUGUUACCAGAGAAUUGGCCAUUAUGUUGUUACAGUGGUACCUUGGUUCUCAAACUUAAUCCAUUCCAGAAGUCCAUUCCAAAACCAAAGCCUUCCCAAACCAAGGUGCAUUUUCCCAUAGAAAGUACAGUCAUACCUCGGGUUGAAUGUGCUUUGGGAUGAGCGCGUUCGAGUUGCGCUCCACGGCAACCCGGAAGUAACGUAGCACGUUACUUCCAGGUUUCGCUGCUUGCGCAUGCGCAGAUGCUCAAAAUGACGUCACGCGCAUGCGCAGAAGCGGCAAAAAGCGACGCGUGCGUGCGCAGACGUGCCGUCGCUGGUUACGUUUGCUUCUAGAUGCGAACGGGGCUCCGGAACGGAUCCCGUUCACAUCUAGAGGUACCACUGUAAUGCAAAAUGGAUGAAUCCAUUCCAGACUUUUAAAAACCCCUAAAACAGCAAUUUAACAUGAAUCUUACUAUCUAACUAGACCAUUGAUGCAUAAAAUGAAAGCAAUAAACAAUGUACUGCGGUCACACAACCAAUCAGUAGCUGAACUGGGUUCCACACAGUCACAAAAACAAAACAGGGGAAAAAACGCAAAAACAAAAACGCAAAAUAAAUAGCAAUAACAGACAGACAUCAGCGUAACACUCAAAACAGGAGAGUGGCACUCAAAUCGGAAGUGUGGCACACAAAAUGGAAGCGUGGCACUCAAAGUGGAAGUGUGUCACUCAAAAUGGAGCACGUUUGACUUCCAAAAAAAGUUUGCAAACCAGAACACUUACUUCUGGGUUUCCAGUGUUUGGGUUCCAAGUAGGUUUGCAAACUUUACCUUGGUCUAAGAAUGGAAUCCAAAUGGUGGAAGGGCAUCGGCGGCGGCAGGCCUCAUUAGGGAAAGCGCGCCUCAGUUUAAGAACAGUUUUGGUUUAAGAACAGACUUCUGGAACGGAUUAAGUUUGUAAACCGAGGUACCACUGUUUUUUUUUUAAUAAUAAUAUUUAUUGCUUUUAAACCUUACAAAAAGAAGAAAAGAAAAGAAAAAAGAAAAGAAGAAGAAAAGCAAAAGAAAAAGCAAUACAAUACAAUAUAUAAACAAUACAGAACGCAACAUUAACAUUAACACAUUAAACAAAACAAAAGCAAAAACAAUUCAAAAAACACACAUCAUACCAUCUCAAUAUCCUCUCUUUCAUUCCUUUGUUUCAUCGACUUCCUCUCACCUCCCUUUUUGUAUUCCAUUUCUAUUAAUUGUUUCAGCAAAUCCUUUCCAUCUUUCUCUAUUUUCUGUCAUGUAAUUAUCUUAACAUAUUUUAACCUUAUUUUCCAUUAAUACUAUAAUACUUAUUUAUACUUAAUUCCUUAAAAUAUUUCUACUAAAGCCGUAUAAUUCCCUUCCAACAUUUUUCUAACACUCAUUAAUUUUACAUUAUUUCCAUAUAUAGAUUUUAAACUUUUUCCAAUAUUCUUCCACCGUCUCUUCUCCCUGGUCUCGGGUUCUGCCAGUCAUUUCCGUCAAUUCCAUAAAGCCCAUCAACCUGGUGAUCUUCUGUCCGAGGCUCUUAACUCUUUUCCAGGUACCUUCUGCAAGUCUUCUUCAUGUUUAUACAUGCACUUUACUUUGUCUUCUCCUGAUCUUGUUCUUAUUUUCCUUCCUUUGAUGCUGAAAAGUAGAUAUCCGGGAAAUUCCCAUCUAGCAAUGUUUUUAUUCCUUCUCGACAAGUCAGCCAAAUCUCCAUAGUUAGAACUGAAAUUCAAAAGAUAUUUCCAGUCGUGUUUCAAAGUUCCUCCAAGUCUGGCAGUCCCCACAACUCCAGUCUCCUCCUGACCCAAGUCCAGGUCCCAAAGGUCAAUAAACCCCUGCAUGAGGGGAUCUAUCCAACUUUCUUUCUCCAGUCCAAGCGGGGCUCCAAUCCUAAAAGUCUGACUUUCUCUAAAUUCAGUCUUGGAAGGCAUCAACUUAUAAUCAUCAAAUUGCAACUGUAAGGCUGGGGCUCUCUCCCUCACCACUUGUGCCACUUUAGGUUCCACAACAAAAACUUUCUCCCCCGCCUUCUCCUCAAUUUGCCAUGUCAAAAUAGAUCCCUGUAUUGAUUCCUGAAUAAUUUCUGUAUUAAUAUUGACUUUUUGUGCCAAAUUAGUCACUUUUUGUUCCAAGUUAUCAAUUUUUAUAGUCCUCGCAUCCGUCUUCUUAUAAAGCUGUUCCAGUGAAUCAUUAAUCUUACAAAAUGCAACCACUAAGGUUUCUUCUGUCAACAUUCUUAACGAUUCAAGGUCAAUCCCAGAUUCUCACAGUUUUAUCUUGCAGGUGGAAAAUUCCCCCAGCUCAGCUCUUGUAACAAUUUCAAAGGCUUCCUCUAGGGGGAAACAAUUUCUGUUUGUAUCAAUCCUUUUAAGCACAGUUCAAACAAUAAAGUUAGUUUCAAUUUUCAGUUACUUUUACUCCUUUUUAAACGCAGAAGGAGACAAUGGAAACAAUGUAUUUCUCUUCUUUAAAUUACUGUCAGCAGGCGAUCUAUUCACAGUCAAUGAGCAUAUCCGAAACUUCAAUCUUACUAGCAGCCCGUUUCCAGGUUCAGAGCGGUGGUAAUUUGACUUUCUUCACUCUCUCCUGCAGGCUUACGCGAUCUUAAAUUUCCCCCCUCUUCUCCUGCUUCCAAGGGGGGUUUGAUGAUUUAACCGAUGGAAGUUUAAUCCUUUAUGAGAGACUUUCCAAGGCUUUAGCUUGCAGCCUCUUUGCUUCAAUCUAUUUACAAAAGGGGAAGGCGGACUUCCUGUUUGAAACCCCCCGUUUCGGUGCCAAAUUAAGACGUUUAAAAAUCCAAUUUUCCGUUCUACUCACGGGUAGUUGUUUUAAGAUCAAAUUGUCCACAGGAAAAAGUCAGCGCUCUCCUGCAACAGCAAUGCGGCUUCACUCUGUGAAAGAAGCAGUCGAUUCGAAGCACCACGCCACUCACCCCACGUCGCUCUGGAGCCCCGAAACUGGGUUUCCCCACGAGUAGGGGAGGCGCAAAAAGUGCCAGCCGAAUCCCACGUCCACAAGCUUCUCCUGCCUGUGGUUUUUAGUGGGUCUUCGCCUUCGCCAUGGCGGCCAGACCCUGAUUUCCACGGAGCGGAUUCCUCCCGAUCAGAGGAAUUCCGCCAUUGCCGGAGGCGCUAACCCGGAAGUAAACCGAGGUACCACUGUACUUGACAGACUGUAUUUGCAGGGAGGUAAAAGUCCCUACAGUCCAAAGACAAUUGGAAAACUUUCCCCAUUUCCUUCCUCCUUGCAGAGUGAAAUAAAUGGAAAAGGGGGGGGUCCCGGUAAAAGGGUCCAGCUUCUUAAGAAAGACUGGACCUUUGGGGAGAGCGCAUUUGAAGGCUCUAGCCCAGGGGUCAGCAAGGUUUACCUCGCCUGGGCCAGUUCACUCCCAUGGAGAUCGCUCCAUGGGCCGGAUCACAUCUGUGCAGACGUGAUUUCCGGCCCCACAGAAACAAGUCCCCACUCCACGCUGCACUGGUUUAGUGCAGCGCGCGGGGACUCGCUGAGCGGGCGGCUCGGUUCGAGGGAAGCUUGUGGGACAUUUAAACGACCCCUGUGGGCAGCUUGUGGCCCAUGGUCCGCAGGUUGCCAACCCCUGCUCUAGCCGGUAGGGAUUGAGAGACAGAGACCAGACCAGGAUUUAUGAAAAGCAAAGCGGCUAUAAGCCUGAUCUUUAUUACAAAAUAAAGGCUGUUGGCAACAGGGUUCCCACUCACGUAACAGGCGACGGAGGAGAACCCAGAACAAAAGAAGAUUCUUAUAUUUAUACCUUUUAAUUUCCAUACAGAACAAUAAAAAACAAGAGACAUCAGACGAGGCGCGGCAUGAGGGAUUAAACAGGUAAAUGGUAUGUUGGAAGGGGCUGAUCUUUGUUAAUCGCUGUGUUUGUUGACACUUAUUUCGUGUCAUUGUUUGGCAGGCAGCGUACACAAAGGUUUUGGGCUGGUUCCUGUUUUUCCAGCAAUCUUGUUAAUGGCCAUGUAUUUCCUUUAUUUACAGGAAUACUUUGGCACUACCUGGAGUGGAUUAAUAAAGG